GACGAACGCUGGCGGCGUGCUUAACACAUGCAAGUCGAACGGGCCUUGUCCCCUUUUUUUUUGGGGGUGGGGUUAGUGGCGAACGGGUGAGUAACACGUGAGUAACCUGCCCCUCACUUCUGGAUAACCGCUUGAAAGGGUGGCUAAUACGGGGUGUUCUGGCCUGCUCGCAUGGGUGGGUUUGGAAAGAUUCGACCGGUUUUGGUUGUUUUGGUGGGGGAUGGGCUCGCGGCCUGUCAGCUUGUUGGUGGGGUGAUGGCCUGCCAAGGCUUUGACGGGUAGCCAGGCUGAGAGGGUGGGCGGGCACAAGGGGACUGAGACACGGCCCAGACUCCGACGGGGGGCAGCAGUGGGGAAUAGUGCACAAUGGGCGAAAGCCUGAUGCAGCGACGCCGCGUGAGGGAUGGAGGCCUUCGGGUUGUGAACCUCUUUCGCCAGUGAAGAAGGUCCUGCUCUUUGUGGUGGGGUUGACGGUAGCGGGGUUAAUGAAGCGCCGGCUAACUACGUG
rnacentral:rRNA from 1 species